rnacentral:rRNA from 1 species
GAUGAACGCUGGCGGCGUGCCUAAUACAUGCAAGUCGAGCGAACAGACGAGGAGCUUGCUCCUCUGACUUUAGCGGCGGACGGGUGAGUAACACGUGGAUAACCUACCUAUAAGACUGGGAUAACUUCGGGAAACCGGAGCUAAUACCGGAUAAUAUAUUGAACCCCAUUGUUCAAUAUUGAAAGACGGUUUUGCUCUCACUUAUAGAUGGAUCCGCUCCGCAUUAGCUAGUUGGUAAGGUAACGGCUUACCAAGGCAACGAUGCGUAGCCGACCUGAGAGGGUGAUCGGCCACACUGGAACUGAGACACGGUCCAGACUCCUACGGGAGGCAGCAGUAGGGAAUCUUCCGCAAUGGGCGAAAGCCUGACGGAGCAACGCCGCGUGAGUGAUGAAGGUCUUCGGAUCGUAAGACUCUGUUAUUAGGGAAGAACAAAGGUGUAAGUAAAUAUGCACGUCUUGACGGUACCUAAUCAGAAAGCCACGGCUAACUACGUG